rnacentral:rRNA from 1 species
GCCAAAGUGGCGGGCGUGGCUAUACAUGCAAGUCGAACGAACUCUGGUAUUGAUUGGUGCUUGCAUCAUGAUUUACAUUUGAGUGAGUGGCGAACUGGUGAGUAACACGUGGGAAACCUGCCCAGAAGCGGGGGAUAACACCUGGAAACAGAUGCUAAUACCGCAUAACAACUUGGACCGCAUGGUCCGAGUUUGAAAGAUGGCUUCGGCUAUCACUUUUGGAUGGUCCCGCGGCGUAUUAGCUAGAUGGUGGGGUAACGGCUCACCAUGGCAAUGAUACGUAGCCGACCUGAGAGGGUAAUCGGCCACAUUGGGACUGAGACACGGCCCAAACUCCUACGGGAGGCAGCAGUAGGGAAUCUUCCACAAUGGACGAAAGUCUGAUGGAGCAACGCCGCGUGAGUGAAGAAGGGUUUCGGCUCGUAAAACUCUGUUGUUAAAGAAGAACAUAUCUGAGAGUAACUGUUCAGGUAUUGACGGUAUUUAACCAGAAAGCCACGGCUAACUACGUGCCAGCAGCCGCGGUAAUACGUAGGUGGCAAGCGUUGUCCGGAUUUAUUGGGCGUAAAGCGAGCGCAGGCGGUUUUUUAAGUCUGAUGUGAAAGCCUUCGGCUCAACCGAAGAAGUGCAUCGGAAACUGGGAAACUUGAGUGCAGAAGAGGACAGUGGAACUCCAUGUGUAGCGGUGAAAUGCGUAGAUAUAUGGAAGAACACCAGUGGCGAAGGCGGCUGUCUGGUCUGUAACUGACGCUGAGGCUCGAAAGUAUGGGUAGCAAACAGGAUUAGAUACCCUGGUAGUCCAUACCGUAAACGAUGAAUGCUAAGUGUUGGAGGGUUUCCGCCCUUCAGUGCUGCAGCUAACGCAUUAAGCAUUCCGCCUGGGGAGUACGGCCGCAAGGCUGAAACUCAAAGGAAUUGACGGGGGCCCGCACAAGCGGUGGAGCAUGUGGUUUAAUUCGAAGCUACGCGAAGAACCUUACCAGGUCUUGACAUACUAUGCAAAUCUAAGAGAUUAGACGUUCCCUUCGGGGACAUGGAUACAGGUGGUGCAUGGUUGUCGUCAGCUCGUGUCGUGAGAUGUUGGGUUAAGUCCCGCAACGAGCGCAACCCUUAUUAUCAGUUGCCAGCAUUAAGUUGGGCACUCUGGUGAGACUGCCGGUGACAAACCGGAGGAAGGUGGGGAUGACGUCAAAUCAUCAUGCCCCUUAUGACCUGGGCUACACACGUGCUACAAUGGAUGGUACAACGAGUUGCGAACUCGCGAGAGUAAGCUAAUCUCUUAAAGCCAUUCUCAGUUCGGAUUGUAGGCUGCAACUCGCCUACAUGAAGUCGGAAUCGCUAGUAAUCGCGGAUCAGCAUGCCGCGGUGAAUACGUUCCCGGGCCUUGUACACACCGCCCGUCACACCAUGAGAGUUUGUAACACCCAAAGUCGGUGGGGUAACCUUUUAGGAACCAGCCGCCUAAAGGUGGAACCAGGAAAGG